GAUGAACGCUGGCGGCGUGCUUAACACAUGCAAGUCGAACGGAAAGGCCCUGCUUUUGUGGGGUGCUCGAGUGGCGAACGGGUGAGUAACACGUGAGUAACCUGCCCUUGACUUUGGGAUAACUUCAGGAAACUGGGGCUAAUACCGGAUAGGAGCUCCUGCUGCAUGGUGGGGGUGGGAAAGUUUCGGCGGUGGGGGAUGGACUCGCGGCUUAUCAGCUUGUUGGUGGGGUAGUGGCUUACCAAGGCUUUGACGGGUAGCCGGCCUGAGAGGGUGACCGGCCACAUUGGGACUGAGAUACGGCCCAGACUCCUACGGGAGGCAGCAGUGGGGAAUAUUGCACAAUGGGCGGAAGCCUGAUGCAGCAACGCCGCGUGCGGGAUGACGGCCUUCGGGUUGUAAACCGCUUUCGCCUGUGACGAAGCGUAAGUGACGGUACCGGGUGAAGAAGCACCGGCUAACUACGUG
rnacentral:rRNA from 1 species